AGAAUAGAUAUAUAUUACGGAUGACAGUCACAAAUCAGGGGGUGGCUGUCUAGUAAAUUCACUCGGGUCUCGGGUGUUGUGUGGGUUGGUUGUGCCACUGGUACCUCUGCUGAGCGAGGGACCGAAAGUGGCAAUGGCGACACACCAACCCACAAACAUGGCAAAACCUGACGCAGGACCGAGACGACCCAUCCACUGACAACCCAAGACUCCACCACAGAACCGGACGGAACAGACGAGCAACUGGAGGAUCCCGCAAACCAAUGCCCCAGGUACCAACACCACAGGCACUCCUCCAGUCACUAUAUAUGGGGUCCCACUUCCUACACGGUCCAUAUCGCAGUAAAGCACCGGUAGUUGACAUGAUGGACGACAAAGGCAGCGUCACGGCAGUCGUCAUCACGGAUCACAGAAGAAGAUGACCAGAGUCAGAAGCCCAGACAACCCCGUCAUCAUCAAGAUGUCAGCCGAUAAUCAGGACAUCAUCGGUAACCCAACAUUCAUGUGAGUGAACCAACUUUCAAGUUCAAGUCAACCUAGGCAUACAUCACGAAUCAUCUGCAAGUUUCUUCCGAUGUGUGUGACAAUAUCUGUGAACUUUGGUUCUGACUCUCACCGUGAACUGUGUACGUGAACUUCUCAAGGACGUUCUUGUUUAUGUGAGGUAUGUUGUAUGUUCUCCGGUCAUUGUUUCGUUGUGUUCACAUUUGUCAUAUUUUCAUAUAUUGAGUAUGUAUUGUAAUCUAUGUGAUGUUAUCAGACAUACAUCUUUAUCAGAUUAAGUUGUUGAAAUCGGCUAGGUUCUUACUCUACGGUACGAUCUGGUCACACCCUACGCCCUACACAUGUACGCAUUUAGUGCAGAUCAACGUUAUCUGCGGGAUCCGAGUCUUCCCAUACAAACCAGACUCCCGGUUUCAAGGAUUUUUCUCAUACUUUGUAGGUCUAUAACCGUCACUAUAGAUAAUAGCUUUCCAUAAGCUAUUCAAUACAAUAUGAUUUCCUG